UGGCAACCCAGCUGGGAAGGUCGGUCUCUGCAGGGCGAAAGGCGAAGGUGGGGACGAAUCGGGAGUAAUAGCGGCCAUCUCCUGCAGCGCUAUGGAGGAGUCCCAGGACGGGAGGUGUCCCGUGGAACUCGCGGUAGCGCCGGCGGAACGUCGGCGAGGAUGCCGCGCCACGGCGUGCAGACGGCGGAGGCGCGGAUGAGGUGCUCUGGCUCAUCCGGCGGA
rnacentral:lncRNA from 1 species